AUUGAACGCUGGCGGCAGGCUUAACACAUGCAAGUCGAGCGGAGUGAUGGUACUUGCACUAUUACUUAGCGGCGGACGGGUGAGUAAUGCAUAGGAAUCUGCCUAUUAGUGGGGGACAACAUAGCGAAAGGGAUGCUAAUACCGCAUAAGUCCUACGGGAGAAAGCAGGGGAUCAAUUGUGACCUGUCGCUUAUAGAUGCGCAUAAUUUGAAUUAGAUAGUUGGUGGGGUAAAGGCCUACCAAGGCGAAGCUCUGUUGGGGGGCUGAGAGGAUGAGCAGGCACACUGGGGCUGAGGCACGGCCCAGACUUCUACGGGAGGGAGGAGUUGGGAAUAUUUGACAAUUGGGGGAACCCUGAUUCAGCCAUUCCGCGUGUGUGAAGAAAGCCUUAUGGUUGUAAAGCACUUUAAGCGAGGAGGAGGCUUACCUAGUUAAUACCUUGGAUAUGUUGACGUUACUCGCAGAAUAAGCACCGGCUAACUCUGUGCCAGCAGCCGCCGUAA
rnacentral:rRNA from 1 species